UAAUACAUAGGGCGCAAGCGUUGUCCGGAUUUAUUGGGCGUAAAGAGUUCGUAGGCGGCACAGUCAGUCAGAAAUUAAAGCGCAAGGCUCAACCUUGCGUCGUUUUUGAUACUGCUGAGCUUGAGUAUGGCAGGGGAGAAGGGAAUUCCACGUGUAGCGGUGAAAUGCGCAGAUAUGUGGAGGAACACCAGUGGCGAAGGCGCUUCUCUGGGCCAUUACUGACGCUGAGGAACGAAAGCGUGGGUAGCGAACAGGAUUAGAUACCCUGGUAGUCCACGCCGUAAACGGUGGAUACUAGGUGUGGGAGAUAACCAACUUCUUCCGCGCCGUCGCUAACGCAUUAAGUAUCCCGCCUGGGGAGUACGGCCGCAAGGCUA
rnacentral:rRNA from 1 species